UAACAACUGAAAGGAGGUGAUCCAGUGUCUCAUUGUCAUCAACCGCUGGUUCAAAGCGGGCGGACCUGGGCUCUUUCCACGUGGGGUUCUUGUUACGCGUGAGCUUUUGAAUCUUCAGGCCCGGUUACCGGGGCUGCGGUUCGGCAAUGGAAGGGCUGCCCGAAAGGGCGGCCCU
rfam:Bosea vaviloviae strain SD260 contig_3, whole genome shotgun sequence.